rnacentral:rRNA from 1 species
GACGAACGCUGGCGGCGUGCUUAACACAUGCAAGUCGAACGGGAAGGCCCUGCUUUUGUGGGGUGCUCGAGUGGCGAACGGGUGAGUAACACGUGAGUAACCUGCCCUUGACUUUGGGAUAACUUCAGGAAACUGGGGCUAAUACCGGAUAGGAGCUCCUGCUGCAUGGUGGGGGUUGGAAAGUUUCGGCGGUUGGGGAUGGACUCGCGGCUUAUCAGCUUGUUGGUGGGGUAGUGGCUUACCAAGGCUUUGACGGGUAGCCGGCCUGAGAGGGUGACCGGCCACAUUGGGACUGAGAUACGGCCCAGACUCCUACGGGAGGCAGCAGUGGGGAAUAUUGCACAAUGGGCGGAAGCCUGAUGCAGCAACGCCGCGUGCGGGAUGACGGCCUUCGGGUUGUAAACCGCUUUCGCCUGUGACGAAGCGUGAGUGACGGUAAUGGGUAAAGAAGCACCGGCUAACUACGUGCCAGCAGCCGCGGUGAUACGUAGGGUGCGAGCGUUGUCCGGAUUUAUUGGGCGUAAAGGGCUCGCAGGUGGUUGAUCGCGUCGGAAGUGUAAUCUUGGGGCUUAACCCUGAGCGUGCUUUCGAUACGGGUUGACUUGAGGAAGGUAGGGGAGAAUGGAAUUCCUGGUGGAGCGGUGGAAUGCGCAGAUAUCAGGAGGAACACCAGUGGCGAAGGCGGUUCUCUGGGCCUUUCCUGACGCUGAGGAGCGAAAGCGUGGGGAGCGAACAGGCUUAGAUACCCUGGUAGUCCACGCUGUAAACGGUGGGUACUAGGUGUGGGGUCCAUUCCACGGGUUCCGUGCCGUAGCUAACGCUUUAAGUACCCCGCCUGGGGAGUACGGCCGCAAGGCUAAAACUCAAAGGAGUUGACGGGGCCCCGCACAAGCGGCGGAGCAUGCGGAUUAAUUCGAUGCAACGCGUAGAACCUUACCUGGGUUUGACAUGGAUCGGGAGUGCUCAGAGAUGGGUGUGCCUCUUUUGGGGUCGGUUCACAGGUGGUGCAUGGCUGUCGUCAGCUCGUGUCGUGAGAUGUUGGGUUAAGUCCCGCAACGAGCGCAACCCUUGUUCACUGUUGCCAGCACGUUAUGGUGGGGACUCAGUGGAGACCGCCGGGGUCAACUCGGAGGAAGGUGGGGAUGACGUCAAGUCAUCAUGCCCCUUAUGUCCAGGGCUUCACGCAUGCUACAAUGGCUGGUACAGAGAGUGGCGAGCCUGUGAGGGUGAGCGAAUCUCGGAAAGCCGGUCUCGGUUCGGAUCGGGGUCUGCAACUCGACCUCAUGAAGUCGGAGUCGCUAGUAAUCGCAGAUCAGCAACGCUGCGGUGAAUACGUUCCCGGG